rnacentral:rRNA from 1 species
GUUUGUCCUGGCUCAGAACGGGCGCUGGCAGCGUGGAUGAGGCAUGCAAGUCGAACGGGAUCGAGUCUAGUAGUAAUACCUGACUCGUGAGAGUGGCGGAAGGGCGAGUAAUGCGAGAGUAAGCUACCCUUCAGUUCGGGACAACGUUUGGAAACGGACGCUAAUACCGGAUACGAAGUACGGACGAAUGUUCGUAUCUUGAAAGGCGGGGCCCCGCGAGGGCCUGUCGCCGGGGGAGGCGCUCCCGUGCCAUCAGCUAGUUGGUGAGGUAACGGCUCACCAAGGCUCACGGCUAGGUGGACUGAGAGGUUGGUCACCCGCACUGGGACUGAGACACUGCCCAGACUCCUACGGGAGGCUGCAGUCGAGGAUCAUUCGCAAUGGGGGAAACCCUGACGAUGCGACGCUGCGUGGAGGAUGAAGGCCCUCGGGUCGUAAACUCCUGUCAUGUGGGACAAGACGGCGGCCGCGAACAGCGGCGCGCCAUUGAUGGUACCACAAGAGGAAGCCACGGCUAACUACGUGCCAGCAGCCGCGGUAAUACGUAGGUGGCAAGCGUUGUCCGGAUUUACUGGGCGUAAAGGGAGCGUAGGCGGACCUUUAAGUGAGAUGUGAAAUACCCGAGCUCAACUUGGGUGCUGCAUUUCAAACUGGAGGUCUAGAGUGUCGGAGAGGUAAGUGGAAUUCCUAGUGUAGCGGUGAAAUGCGUAGAGAUUAGGAAGAACCCCGGUGGCGAAGGCGACUUACUGGACGAUAACUGACGCUGAGGCUCGAAAGCGUGGGGAGCAAACAGAAGUAGAUACCCUGGUAGUCCACGCCGUA